rnacentral:rRNA from 1 species
GAUCCUGGCUCAGGAUGAACGCUAGCUACAGGCUUAACACAUGCAAGUCGAGGGGCAGCAUGAUCAAGCUUGCUUGAUGAUGGCGACCGGCGCACGGGUGAGUAACGCGUAUCCAACCUUCCCCUUAGUAGGGCAUAGCCCGGCGAAAGUCGGAUUAAUACCCUAUGUUAUUCGUCGAGGACAUCUGAAGUGAAUCAAAGAUUUAUCGCUAAGGGAUGGGGAUGCGUCUGAUUAGGUUGUUGGCGGGUAACGGCCCACCAAGCCAUCGAUCAGUAGGGGUUCUGAGAGGAAGGUCCCCCACAUUGGUACUGAGACACGGACCAAACUCCUACGGGAGGCAGCAGUGAGGAAUAUUGGUCAAUGGGCGAGAGCCUGAACCAGCCAAGUAGCCGUGCAGGAUGACUGCCCUAUGGGUUGUAAACUGCUUUUAUACGGGGAUAAAGUGAGGUAUGCAUACCUUUUUGUAGGUACCGUAUGAAUAAGGACCGGCUAAUUCCGUGCCAGCCGCGGC